rnacentral:lncRNA from 1 species
AAUAACAUAUGUAUGUUUGAUAUUGUCCAUGAAGUCUAAAGAUAUCAGUUCUACAAGUACUUCUAGGGAUACCAUUACAUAAACGAUUAUAAAUCCUUUGAAUAUACAUAAUAAGAUAUGAUGAAGAAGUAAAAAAAGGUAGACAACCCAAAGCAAUCAUUUUUGCUAACUCCUCACGAUCCUUCAGUUUAUCAUUUUUCACUAGACCUUCAGUAGUAGGGUUAAGAGUUGUU